rnacentral:ribozyme from 1 species
GGCGGUCGAAAAGUCACACCUUCACGCGGUGACCGCCGUGAGUAACUAUGUAAUAUAGUGAAACCAAGAUGAUC